rnacentral:misc_RNA from 1 species
ACACCUUCAAGCUCUGCUUGGUGUUGGGUGACUGUGGCCCCUGGGCCACUCGCCUCAAAGGUAUUGGCGGCCGGUUUGUAGGCUUCGAGCGCAGCACAUUUGCGUCCUCGUCUCCCGCGGAUCGGCUCCCAGAAGCUAUCUUUACUG